CUGAAACAGUCAGACGAUUGUACGGCCAGUGGCAGAAAACAUGCUUUCUAGGCUGCUACGGGCCCCCUCAUCCUUUGAACCGCACGGUCCUCUUGACUGUUUAACACAGAUACAGGGAGCUGGGAGCCCACGCCGACGUGCUGGGUGCUGUGAAGGUAAUUAUUAAUCGCUGGGGCUCCUGGCUGGUCCUGCUCACUGCCCUGCCGGUAUCCAGAGAAAGCUGCCAGGGGACCGUUGCCCACCCAGCCCAGACCGAGGACGAGCUCUGCUCUGCCCAGGGUAGGCAGCGGCUUACGGGGUUGCCUGCCAGGAGGAGAGAAGGACCACUCCAAGCAGCUGAACUUUUCACUCCAGCUUACAGACAGAUUCCCAGAGAUGCUUUGAGAGAGGGGAGGGGAUGGGAAGCAAGAUUUGUAGGGGAACCAGCCUGGCCUUUUUGAAUUCAGCUGCAGAGUUAGUUAACAAAGUUGCAGGUUCUCACUCUCUUUUUCUC